UGUGUGAAUUAAUGUGAAAUGUAGCCUGCUUUGAACAUCGACAUCUUGAACGCAAAUUGCGGCCGUAGGUUCUCCUACGGCCACGCCUGUCCGAGGGU
rnacentral:rRNA from 4 species